GCUCAACCGAGGAAGUGCUUCGAAAACUGGUAAACUUGAGUGCAGAAGAGGAAAGUGGAACUCCAUGUGUAGCGGUGGAAUGCGUAGAUAUAUGGAAGAACACCAGUGGCGAAGGCGGCUUUCUGGUCUGUAACUGACGCUGAGACUCGAAAGCAUGGGUAGCAAACAGGAUUAGAUACCCUGGUAGUCCAUGCCGUAAACGAUGAGUGCUAAGUGUUGGAGGGUUUCCGUCCUUCAGUGCUGCAGCUAACGCAUUAAGCACUCCGCCUGGGGAGUACGAUCGCAAGAUUGAAACUCAAAGGAAUUGACGGGGGCCCGCACAAGCGGUGGAGCAUGUGGUUUAAUUCGAAGCAACGCGAAGAACCUUACCAGGUCUUGACAUACCAUGAAAAGCUAAGAGAUUAGUCUUUCCCUUCGGGGACAUGGAUACAGGUGGUGCAUGGUUGUCGUCAGCUCGUGUCGUGAGAUGUUGGGUUAAGUCCCGCAACGAGCGCAACCCUUAUUAUCAGUUGCCAGCAUUCAGUUGGGCACUCUGGUGAGACUGCCGGUGACAAACCGGAGGAAGGUGUGGACGACGUCAAAUCAUCAUGCCCCUUAUGACCUGGGCUACACACGUGCUACAAUGGUCGGUACAACG
rnacentral:rRNA from 1 species